ACGGUAGUUACCAGAAAGGGACGGCUAACUACGUGCCAGCAGCCGCGGUAAUACGUAGGUCCCGAGCGUUGUCCGGAUUUAUUGGGCGUAAAGCGAGCGCAGGCGGUUUGAUAAGUCUGAAGUUAAAGGCUGUGGCUCAACCAUAGUUCGCUUUGGAAACUGUCAAACUUGAGUGCAGAAGGGGAGAGUGGAAUUCCAUGUGUAGCGGUGAAAUGCGUAGAUAUAUGGAGGAACACCGGUGGCGAAAGCGGCUCUCUGGUCUGUAACUGACGCUGAGGCUCGAAAGCGUGGGGAGCGAACAGGAUUAGAUACCCUGGUAGUCCACGCCGUAAACGAUGAGUGCUAGGUGUUGGAUCCUUUCCGGGAUUCAGUGCCGCAGCUAACGCAUUAAGCACUCCGCCUGGGGAGUACGACCGCAAGGUUGAAACUCAAAGGAAUUGACGGGGGCCCGCACAAGCGGUGGAGCAUGUGGUUUAAUUCGAAGCAACGCGAAGAACCUUACCAGGUCUUGACAUCCCGAUGCUAUUUCUAGAGAUAGAAAGUUACUUCGGUACAUCGGUGACAGGUGGUGCAUGGUUGUCGUCAGCUCGUGUCGUGAGAUGUUGGGUUAAGUCCCGCAACGAGCGCAACCCCUAUUGUUAGUUGCCAUCAUUCAGUUGGGCACUCUAGCGAGACUGCCGGUAAUAAACCGGAGGAAGGUGGGGAUGACGUCAAAUCAUCAUGCCCAUUAUGACCUGGGCUACACACGUGCUACAAUGGUUGGUACAACGAGUUGCGAGUCGGUGACGGCGAGCUAAUCUCUUAAAGCCAAUCUCAGUUCGGAUUGUAGGCUGCAACUCGCCUACAUGAAGUCGGAAUCGCUAGUAAUCGCGGAUCAGCACGCCGCGGUGAAUACGUUCCCGGGCCUUGUACACACCGCCCGUCACACCACGAGAGUUUGUAACACCCGAAGUCGGUGAGGUAACCUUUUGGAGCCAGCCGCCUAAGGUGGGACAGAUGAUUGGGGUGAAGUCGUAACAAGGUAGCCGUAUCGGAAGGUGCGGCUGGAUCACCUCCUUUCUAA
rnacentral:rRNA from 1 species